AAAAUGCGAUAAGUAAUGUGAAUUGCAGAAUUCAGUGAAUCACCGAAUCUUUGAACUCACAUUGCGCCCGCCAGUAUUCUGGCGGGCAUGCCUGUUCGAGCGUCAUUUCAACCCUCAAGCCCAGCUUGGUGUUGGGAUUCGCGAGUCAAAUCGCGUUCCCCAAAUUGAUUGGCGGUCACGUCGAGCUUCCAUAGCGUAGUAGUAUAACCCUCGUUACUGGUAAUCGUCGCGGCCACGCCGUUAAACCCCAACUUCUGAAUGUUGAGCUCGGAUCAGCUAGGAAUACCCGCUGAACUUAA
rnacentral:misc_RNA from 1 species